rnacentral:rRNA from 1 species
CCCUUAGAUGUUCUGGGCCGCACGCGCGCUACACUGACGAAGUCAGCGAGCAUCUCCUACGCCGAAAGGUGCGGGGAAUCUUGUGAAACUUUGUCGUGCUGGGGAUUGAUUUUUGAAAUUCUUGAUCAUCAACGAGGAAUUCCUAGUAAGCGCAAGUCAGCAGCUUGCGUUGAUUACGUCCCUGCCCUUUGUACACACCGCCCGUCGCUACUACCGAUUGAAUGGUUUAGUGGGAUUUUUGGACUGGAACUCUCUUGUUCAGCAAUGAACGAGAGGGACUCUGGGAAGCUAUUCUAACUGUAUCAUUUAGAGGAAGUAAAAGUCGUAACA